rnacentral:misc_RNA from 1 species
GAUGAAGAACGCAGCGAAAUGCGAAAAGUAAUGUGAAUUGCAGAAUUCAGUGAAUCAUCGAAUCUUUGAACGCACAUUGCGCCCGCUGGUACUCCGGCGGGCACGCCUGUCCGAGCGUCAUUUCAACCCUCAAGCCCUCCUUCGGGAUGGGCCUGGUGUUGGGGCUCGGCCGCCAUCUCCGGCGGCCGUCCCCUAAAUACAGUGGCGGUCACGUCGCGACUCCUUUGCGUAGUAGAAACACCUCGCUCCGGAUAGCAACGCGGUCCACGCCGUAAAACCCCCAAUUUUCAAUGGUUGACCUCGGAUCAGGUGGGAAUACCCGCUGAACUUAAGCAUAUCAAUAAGCGGGGA